AUGGGCCCUUGUGUAUAUACACUAAAACUGAAAAGACACAGAGAAGACUGGCAUAGCCCCUGAGCAAAGAUGACAUGCAAAUGUGUGAAGCGUUCCAUUUUUUU
rfam:Ornithorhynchus anatinus chromosome 3, whole genome shotgun sequence.